CAUCUCCAUCGCUCAUUCCAUCUUCCCUAAGUGCCACUUCCAGAGCAGACUGACAGGAGAGCCAGACAGCAUCAUCCUAGAUGAGAACAUCUGACUUUUUUUCACCCCUGCUAAAACUUCAAAACCAAACCCGGCCUUUUCAAGUCUUUUUAGCUGGUGCGCAUCAGCCUGCGCUCCGUCUGAGAGCGCCGUCACAUCAAACGCUUGGCAGAGACAGCGCCACCGGUUGGCGCAGAUGGCCGGAGUCAAACGGGACAUUCUAAUGAGGUACAAGGCAGGUAUUAGCAGUCCGGGCAGGGAUGCAGCACCGGGAGAGAGGAACACACAGGUGCACCAUGGGAUGCCAAGUGGGAAACCACUGCGGGGGUAGUUCUGAGCCAGCGUGGGGCGCAUCAUCCUGGGUACAGCCCCCGCCAACGCAGUCAUACCUCCACAACCCUACGCGCUCUGAAAACCUCCCGCCGGAGAGGAGGAAGAUGAACAACCGGCGAUUAAACUCAACGAACUGCGGGUAUUUGGACAAUAAAUGCUUUGUAUUCCAGUUUCUGUAAGAUUGAUUCGAGUAAAUUAGCCACUGCAGCAGCCAGGCACUGUUGUGUCCCGGGAGAGAGAGAAAGCACUCC